AAAAAUACAACUGUUUGGCCAUAAUGACCAUCGUUAUGUUUGGAGGAAAAAAGGGGAAGCUUGCAAGCCGAAGAACACCAUCCCAACCGUGAAGCACGGGCGUGGCAGCAUCAUGUUGUGGGGGUGCUUUGCUGCAGGAGGGACUGGUGCACUUCAGGGAUUUUUUUACUAGGAUUAAAUGUCAGGAAUUGUGAAAAAAAAGGAGUUUAAAUGUAUUUGGCUAAGGCUAAACUGUAUAUAUUAGAACACAUAGGGUUCUCGUUAAUGGAAUCCUCUUUAAUGCAAAUUCAGUUGAGUGUUGUUUACCGCAGGGCAGCCGGCUAGGGCCAUUACUGUUUCCUGUUUUUACAAAUGACCGUCCACUGAGCUUGAACAAAGCCUGCGUGUCUAUGUACGUCGAUGACUCAACAGUAAACACGUCGACUACCACAGUAAAAUAGCUACCUGACACCCUUAGCAUAGAGCUACAGUCAGUUCUAGAAUGGGUAACUACCAAUAGGUUUAACAUAGAGCUGCAGUCAGUUCUAGAAUGGGUAACUACCAAUAGGUUUAACAUAGAGCUGCAGUCAGUUCUAGAAUGGGUAACUACCAAUAGGUUUAACAUAGAGCUGCAGUCAGUUCUAGAAUGGGUAACUACCAAUAGGUUUAACAUAGAGCUGCAGUCAGUUCUAGAAUGGGUAACGACCAAUAGGUUUAACAUAGAGCUGCAGUCAGUUAUAGAAUGGGUAACGACCAAUAGGUUUAACAUAGAGCUGCAGUCAGUUCUAGAAUGGGUAACUACCAAUAGGUUUAACAUAGAGCUGCAGUCAGUUCUAGAAUGGGUAACUACCAAUAGGUUUAACAUAGAGCUGCAGUCAGUUAUAGAAUGGGUAACUACCAAUAGGUUUAACAUAGAGCUGCAGUCAGUUCUAGAAUGGGUAACUACCAAUAGGUUUAACAUAGAGCUGCAGUCAGUUAUAGAAUGGGUAACUACCAAUAGGUUUAACAUAGAGCUGCAGUCAGUUAUAGAAUGGGUAACCAGCAACAGACUGAUGCUAAAUAUGUCAAAAACUUAAAUCAUCAUUUUUUGGAACAAAUCACUCGCUCGACGCUAAACUAUUAUUGAAUAAUGUGGCUAUUGAGCAAGUGGAGAAGACUAAACUGCUGGGUGCAACCCUAGAUAGCAAGCUGUCAUGGUCAAAAAAUAGACUCAAUGGUUGCUAAAAUGGGAAGAGGUUUGUCCAUCUCAGUGACAUCUCAGUCGACCAGACAGGUCCUACAGGCCCUAGUUUUGUCGCACCUGGACUACUGCUGCCCAGCUGUGUUGUCAUGUGUGGCAACGAAGGACAUAGGUGAAUUGCAGUUGGUCCAGAUCAAAGCAGCACGUAUCGCACUUAGAUGUACACGGAGGGUGAAUGUCAGGAACAUGCAUGUCAAUCUCUCCUGGAUCAAAGUUGAGGAGAGAUCGACUUCAUCACUAUUGGUCUGGUGAUGGUUGAUGUGUUGGGAGGUACCGAACUGUCUGUUCAAUCAGUUGGCAACACAGUUCAGACACUCAUCGAUACAAAACAAGACAUGCAACCAGAGGUCUCUUCAUAAUCCCCAGGUCCAGAACAGAGGCUGGGAAACGCACAGUAUUAAAGAGUUAUUAGGUUAUUAAAUUAUUGCAUCUGAGCUCCUAGAGUUUGUGACUCUCUCUUUUCUUUUCCAAGUGUUCUGAAAACACCUCGGCUAAACAGGUGUACGUUUCUUUCGCUUCCAGAGGAACCAUUGGAGUCAACAUGGGGCCAGCAUCCCUGUAGAAGGCUUUUGACACCUUGAGGAGUCCAUGCCCCGACCAAUUGAGGUGGUUCUGAGGGUAGAAGGAGGUGCAACUCAAUAUUAGGAAGGUGGCUAGAGAGUUGGGCCAGUAACCGAAAGGUUGCUGGAUCGAAUCCCUGAGCUGACAAGGUAAACAUCGGUCAUUCUGAACAAGGCUGUUAACCCACUGUUCCCCGGCCGUCAAUAUAAAUAAGAAUUUGUUCUUAUGUUCUUAACUGACUUGCCUAGUUAAAAAAAAAUUUAAAGUCCUAAUGUUUUGUAUACUCAGUGUAUAAUGCCAGAAGAGAAGGUGCAUCUGCCUAAUUACAGACAAGUUGACUAAUAAAUAGCAGAAACACAUCUAAAUCAGGAAGAACAAUGUCUGCAUCCCCCUGUUAAAACUCGUUUAGCCGUUUCUGACUGUAGACUACAGGUCACUUUUUAUAUUAUCGGUUUAGAGUGGGGUGUAGGCAUCAGAUUCUCACUUUAUCACAUAGGCUAUAGUCGGACGGUUGCUGAUGGGUUAUUAGCUAUUGUGGUCGGUUGCUGAUGGGUUAUUAGCUAUUGUGGUCGGUUGCUGAUGGGUUAUUAGCUAUAGUCGGACGGUUGCUGAUGGGUUAUUAGCUAUUGUGGUCGGUUGCUGAUGGGUUAUUAGCUAUAGUCGGACGGUUGCUGAUGGGUUAUUAGCUAUUGUGGUCGGUUGCUGGUGAACAAACAGCUGACAUGCGCACCACUACAAAGACCUGUGUCUAUACAGCCUCUCCCCAUCAGGACUGAACUGAACUGAACUGAAUCCGUUCAUCUCCACUCGACACUCGCAGCGCGACAAAACAUCUUCAAUUAGGACACCAGGCGUGUCCGUAUAGCCCCUCUUUCGGGGAGAGCUUCUUCCGUAUAGCCCCUCUUCCGGGGACAUCCUCUUCCGGUAAGAGCCUCCUCUUCCUAAUGACGUCGCGUAGCUACCGUUUUGGUAGUCGAGGAUUCGUUGAAGAAAAGCGAAGAGAUUGUUGUCAACAACACGGGUUUUUAACACUGCCCUAGUUAAUUUACAGAGAACAAGAUGUCAGAUACAGACACGAAACCUUCAGGUCCAGAUGGAGGAGACCAAAAGGAUGGAGAGUACAUCAAACUGAAAGUGAUCGGUCAGGACAACAGUGAAAUUCACUUCAAAGUGAAAAUGACCACCCAUCUGAAGAAGCUGAAGGAGUCUUACAGCCAGAGACAGGGUGUUCAUAUGAGUACCUUACGGUUUCUAUUUGAGGGACAACGAAUCUCAGACAACCACACUCCAAAAGAGCUGGGGAUGGAAGACGAGGACGUCAUCGAGGUGUAUCAGGAACAGACUGGAGGACUUCGGAAUAAUUAGUCUACCUGGAUUUAACUUUUGUUGUUGUUGAUGAUGAUAAUAUUGUAUUUUAUAUUUGUACAAUUAAUUUACUGAGUGAAUUUUGUUUUGGCUUUGUGUUCCUCUCAGUGGUAGAGAGGAGAGAAUAACUGUUAUCGUUCUGUUUGUGCUGUUUUGCCAACUUGCGUGGCAAAAAGUUGUCACAAACAGACUGGCACUCGGGCUCUAUCUGUUUGUGCUGGCGUGACAAUGACUGUAGGAGUUGGCAAGACGGCACAGAAUGCAUUACAGAGUAGAAGUGCUGAUCGGGGAUCAGUUUUGCCUUUAAGAAUCAUAGGGGAUUUAAAAAAAAAAUUUACCAGGCAAGUCGGUUAAGAACAAAUUGUUAUUUACAACGACGGCCUACCGAGGAACAGUGGGUUAACUGCCUUGUUCAGGGGGCAGAACCACAGAUUUUUAUUUUCUUUUUUACCUCGUCAGCUCGGGGAUUCGAUCCAGAAACCUUUCGGUUACUGGCCCAACGCUCUAACCACUAGGCUACCUGCCACCCCAUUGACUACAUGGACAAGAGGGACCCUGAUUCCUAGAUCAGCACUCCUACUGUUUUAUGAUUACGGCCACCGGAACAAGGCUACUAUGAUUCCCCCCCCCCCCCCAUGUGGUCCAUCAGAAGACUCAUUAGGUUGGAUAAAUGUUUUCUUCAGACCCCUCCCCCCCCGUAGCUUCAGUUUGGUUGAUUGUCAUCCGUCCCCCAUAUAUAUAGCGUUCGACAGUAUAUAUUUUACUAGCUGAAGAUCCAGGUAACUGCCAAAGUAAAAGGAAACACUAACAUUGGGUGUUAAUAGGGUCACCACGACCCAGAACAGCUUCAAUGCACCUCGAGGGUAGAUUCUACAAGUGUCUUGAACUCUAUUGGAGGGAUGAGACACCAUUCUUCUUCCACGAGAAAUUCCAUUAUUUUGGUGUUUUGAUGAUGAUGAUGAUGAUGAUGAUGAUGGUGGCGGCGGGAAAAACGUUUUCUCAGGCACCGCUCCAGACUCUCCCGUAAGUGUUCAAUUUGGGUUGAGAUCUGGUGACCUGAGAUGGUCGUGGUCUUUGGGUUUUAUCGUUUUUUUUGUAAAAUGCUCACUAAACCAUUCGGUGACCUCUCAAGCCCUGUGGAUGGGGAUGGGGAUGGGGGGGGGGGGGUUGUCGUGGUAACCAAAAUAAUGUCCUGCUCAGCAUUAUUUUUUUUUUUUUGCUUGACCCUAAGCAUGAUGGGAUGUUAAUUGCUUAAUUAAUUUUGGGUUACAACACCUGUGUUGAAGCAUCUGCUUUCAAUAUAUUUUUGUAUCCCUCAUUUCCUCAUGUGUUUUUCCUUUGUUUUGGCAGUUACCUGUAGCUAGCGUGCCACUGUUAUUUCCUGACUUUUAUGUCAAGGUGUUAUACGACUUCAAUAACGUCUCAUCCUCGGGUUCAUUCAAAACGCUUGUCCACAGUCUUAAGUAUUUUAAUAACCAUCAUGUUCCCAUUCACUGCCUGUCUCUUUCUGUUAGAGAACUGGUCAAAUACCUUCUUAUUAAAGGCUCUAUUCAAUCAGCAUCGUCGAAGUCCAGCUUUGCAGCGGGAUUGAAAUAUAAACACAACGAUCCCGCUUUACCGGAAGACUUCACUCCCGGUAAACGCUGCACAUGUAGUAGGCUGAAACCGGGAGACUUCACUGCUGUUAAACGCUGCACAUGUAGUAGGCUGAAACCGGGAGACUUCACUCCCGGUAAACGCUGCACAUGUAGUAGGCUGAAACCGGGAGACUUCACUGCUGUUAAACGCUGCAGAUGUAGUAGGCUGAAACCGGAAGACUUCACUCCCGGUAAACGCUGCACAUGUAGUAGGCUGAAACCGGGAGACUUCACUCCCGGUAAACGCUGCAGAUGUCGUAGGCUGAAACCGGGAGACUUCACUCCCGGUAAACGCUGCAGAUGUCGUAGGCUGAAACCGGGAGACUUCACUCCCGGUAAACGCUGCAGAUGUCGUAGACUCAACCGGGAGACUACCGCGGAAUCUCUUCAGCUUUCCAGAUUGAAGAGGGCUCUUAAUCCGUAGUACAUAAUUUGUACUCUCAACUGUAUAGUACUCUGUAGUACUGAUCUGUAUAGUACUCUGUAGCUCUGAACUAUAUAGUACUCUGUAGUACUGAUCUGAACUGUAUAGUACUCUGUAGUACUGAACUGUAUAGUACUCUGUAGUACUGAACUGUAUAGUACUCUGUAGCUCUGAACUGUAUAGUACUCUGUAGCUCUGAACUGUAUAUGAAUUACUUUUUAAAGGCCCAGUGCAGUCAAAAACUAGAUUUUCCUUUGUUUUGUAUAUAUUUCCACACUGAGGUUUGAUUAAUAUUGUGACAAUACUGAUAAUGCCCUUUUAGUGUAAGAGCUGAUUGAAAAGAACACCUGAAAUAUCAGCCUGUUUUUGUUUUGAUGGAGGUUUAGCCUUGUAAUUUAGUUAAUAGACCGAAAUGGGAGUUCCAAACCUCUCUGCCAAUAGUUUUCAAUGUUCCCUCCCCCACAGAACCUCUCUACCAAUAACAGCUAGGUUCCCUCCCCCACUCAGAACCUCUCUACCAAUAACAGCUAGUUUCCCUCCCCCACUCAGACCCUCUCUACCAAUAACAGCUAGGUUCCCUCCCCCACUCAGACCCUCUCUACCAAUAACAGCUAGGUUCCCUCCCCCACUCAGAACCUCUCUACCAAUAACAGCUAGGUUCCCUCCCCCACUCAGACCCUCUCUACCAAUAACAGCUAGGUUCCCUCCCCCACUCAGACCCUCUCUACCAAUAACAGCUAGGUUCCCUCCCCCACUCAGAACCUCUCUACCAAUAACAGCUAGGUUCCCUCCCCACUCAGACCCUCUCUACCAAUAACAGCUAGGUUCCCUCCCCCACUCAGACCCUCUCUACCAAUAACAGCUAGGUUCCCUCCCCCACUCAGACCCUCUCUACCAAUAACAGCUAGGUUCCCUCCCCCACUCAGACCCUCUCUACCAAUAACAGCAAGGUUCCCUCCCCCACUCAGACCCCCUCUACCAAUAACAGCUAGGUUCCCUCCCCCACUCAGAACCUCUCUACCAAUAACAGCUAGGUUCCCUCCCCCACUCAGACCCUCUCUACCAAUAACAGCUAGGUUCCCUCCCCCACUCAGAACCUCUCUACCAAUAACAGCUAGGUUCCCUCCCCCACUCAGACCCUCUCUACCAAUAACAGCUAGGUUCCCUCCCCCACUCAGACCCUCUCUACCAAUAACAGCUAGGUUCCCUCCCCCACUCAGACCCUCUCUACCAAUAACAGCUAGGUUCCCUCCCCCACUCAGAACCUCUCUACCAAUAACAGCUAGGUUCCCUCCCCCACUCAGACCCUCUCUACCAAUAACAGCUAGGUUCCCUCCCCCACUCAGAACCUCUCUACCAAUAACAGCUAGGUUCCCUCCCCCACUCAGAACCUCUCUACCAAUAACAGCUAGGUUCCCUCCCCCACUCAGAACCUCUCUACCAAUAACAGCUAGGUUCCCUCCCCCACUCAGAACCUCUCUACCAAUAACAGCUAGGUUCCCUCCCCCACUCAGACCCUCUCUACCAAUAACAGCUAGGUUCCCUCCCCCACUCAGACCCUCUCUACCAAUAACAGCUAGGUUCCCUCCCCCACUCAGACCCUCUCUACCAAUAACAGCUAGGUUCCCUCCCCCACUCAGACCCUCUCUACCAAUAACAGCUAGGUUCCCUCCCCCAUUCAGAACCUCUCUACCAAUAACAGCUAGGUUCCCUCCCCCACUCAGACCCUCUCUACCAAUAACAGCUAGGUUCCCUCCCCCACUCAGACCCUCUCUACCAAUAACAACUAGGUUCCCUCCCCCACUCAGACCCUCUCUACCAAUAACAGCUGGGUUCCCUCCCCACUCAGACCCUCUCUACCAAUAACAGCUAGGUUCCCUCCCCCACUCAGAACCUCUCUACCAAUAACAGCUGGGUUCCCUCCCCCACUGACCCUCUCUACCAAUAACAGCUAGGUUCCCUCCCCACUAAAUGUAACACGUUUGGUAAACAAUAUUGUUUAUAUUAUUACCGACAGGAUAAAGGCUGUGAGUUCCCAGCCAAAAUACUGAGCACUUUCUUAAUUCUGACUAACCUUGCAUUGUACACACUUCAUAUUUUCUAAAAAGAAAAUCAUGCAUUCAAAUGUUACCCCCUCUUGUAUAUUUUGUAUACGCCUUUUUAUAUAUAUAUAUAUAUAUUUUAUGUGAGUAAGACUUUUUUUUCAUCUCAUGUUAUUAGUUGUCUCAUUUCAGGAGGGGAGACCAUCAUAUGCAGUUUGGGUAUGCUGUACGCGGGGUGAUCAGUUUGGGUAUGCUGUACGCGGGGUGAUCAGUUUGGGUAUGCUGUACGCGGGGUGAUCCGUUUGGGUAUGCUGUACGUGGGGUGAUCAGUUUGGGUAUGCUGUACGCGGGGUGAUCAGUUUGGGUAUGCUGUACGCGGGGUGAUCAGUUUGGGUAUGCUGUACGCGGGGUGAUCAGUUUGGGUAUGCUGUACGCGGGGUGAUCAGUUUGGGUAUGCUGUACGUGGGGUGAUCAGUUUGGGUAUGCUGUACGCGGGGUGAUCAGUUUGGGUAUGCUGUACGCGGGGUGAUCAGUUUGGGUAUGCUGUACGCGGGGUGAUCAGUUUGGGUAUGCUGUACGUGGGGUGAUCAGUUUGGGUAUGCUGUACGUGGGGUGAUCAGUUUGGGUAUGCUGUACGUGGGGUGAUCAGUUUGGGUAUGCUGUACGCGGGGUGAUCAGUUUGGGUAUGCUGUACGCGGGGUGAUCAGUUUGGGUAUACUGGACGCGGGUGAUCAGUUUGGGUAUGCUGUACGCGGGUGAUCCGUUUGGGUAUACUGGACGCGGGUGAUCAGUUUGGCUAUGCUGAACGCGGGGUGAUCAGUUUGGGUAUGCUGUAUGUGGGGUGAUCAGAUUGGGUAUGCUGUACGUGGGGUGAUCAGUUUGGGUAUGCUGUACGCGGGGUGAUCCGUUUGGGUAUGCUGUACGCGGGGUGAUCAGUUUGGGUAUGCUGUACGCGGGGUGAUCAGUUUGGGUAUGCUGUACGCGGGGUGAUCAGUUUGGGUAUGCUGUACGCGGGGUGAUCAGUUUGGGUAUGCUGUACGCGGGGUGAUCCGUUUGGGUAUGCCGUGCGCGGGGUGAUCAGUUUGGGUAUGCUGUACGUGGGUGAUCAGUUUGGGUAUACUGUACGUGGGUGAUCCGUUUGGGUAUGCUGUACGCGGGUGAUCCGUUUGGGUAUGCUGUACGCGGGUGAUCCGUUUGGGUAUGCCGUGCGCGGGUUUUCAGUUUGGGUAUACUGUACGCGGGUGAUCAGUUUGGGUAUGCCGUACGCGGGUGAUCAGUUUGGGUAUGCUGUACGCGGGUGAUCAGUUUGGGUAUGCUGUACGCGGGUGAUCAGUUUGGGUACGCGGGUGAUCAGUUUGGGUAUACUGUACGUGGGUGAUCAGUUUGGGUAUACUGUACGCGGGUUUUCAGUUUGGGUAUACUGUACGCGGGUGAUCAGUUUGGGUAUGCUGUACGCGGGUGAUCCGUUUGGGUACGCCGUACGCGGGUGAUCGUACCUAAAGCUACUCAGGUAUCUACUCUCCUCCUCUGCUGAAGCAAAGCAGGAGGUCUAGCUGUAAAGGAUUGUACAUCCCCUCAAAUGGCACCCUAUUCUCUUUAUGUAGGGCACUAUUUUUGACCCGGACCCUAUUACGUGUACACAGUGUCUCACUGCGUCGAGCCAUAGAAUCACUUUGAUUUAAGUCACUCUUUAGAGAUGUAUAUAAUAGUUUUUUUACUUUUUUUUUUACUUUAGUUGCCAUGGAAGUGAAUGCAAUGCAUACAGUGUGUGUAUUCCGGAAUAGCACCUUAUUCCUUUUAUAGUGUGUUACUUUUGACCAGAGUCCUUGUUAAUAGGGUUCCAUUUUGGGUUCCAUUUUGGGUGUGAAGACACUGGAAAGGUUUGAGGUUGUAAGAUUUUUUUUCCUUUUUAAAUAAAACAUCUUAACAGUUUCUCUCUCUCUGACUUGUGAUAAUAUAUCAUUGUAGUGGCUAAAAACGUCCAAUUUUAUAAUUGUCUCAAUACAAUUUCCAUCCAGAUCCUUUAGCCACAAUGGACAGUAGCGAU
rnacentral:lncRNA from 1 species